rnacentral:rRNA from 1 species
UGGGGAAUUUUGGACAAUGGGGGAAACCCUGAUCCAGCCAUCCCGCGUGUGCGAUGAAGGCCUUCGGGUUGUAAAGCACUUUUGGCAGGAAAGAAACGUCGCGGGUUAAUACCCCGCGAAACUGACGGUACCUGCAGAAUAAGCACCGGCUAACUACGUGCCAGCAGCCGCGGUAAUACGUAGGGUGCAAGCGUUAAUCGGAAUUACUGGGCGUAAAGCGUGCGCAGGCGGUUCGGAAAGAAAGAUGUGAAAUCCCAGAGCUUAACUUUGGAACUGCAUUUUUAACUACCGGGCUAGAGUGUGUCAGAGGGAGGUGGAAUUCCGCGUGUAGCAGUGAAAUGCGUAGAUAUGCGGAGGAACACCGAUGGCGAAGGCAGCCUCCUGGGAUAACACUGACGCUCAUGCACGAAAGCGUGGGGAGCAAACAGGAUUAGAUACCCUGGUAGUCCACGCCCUAAACGAUGUCAACUAGCUGUUGGGGGCCUUCGGGCCUUGGUAGCGCAGCUAACGCGUGAAGUUGACCGCCCCGGGGGAGUACGGUCGCAAGAUU